AAAUGAAGAGAGCCAAAAAGCAAAGGAGGCAUUUAAACGUGUAACAUUUGAUCUCUCUGAUGAGAGUGAAGGCGAAGAUGUUGGUGAAAUACUGGGUGGAAAGAAACAGGAGCUCUUAGAGUCUGGUGAAGUCAAGUCUUCCUUUGAAAAAAGGGAAGAGAAGGUCAGUGACUUCUGUUUUAUGCUACAUAGUGUACAGCCAGGUGUGGACCGAAACUCAAAAUAGUCCCCAGCAUCGCAAGUACAUAUCAACAGCCCCCAACAAGUCCAAUAAAUAUUAACUGUCUAUGGUGUUUCCCAGCAGCCCCUCUGGUAUUUGCCUGAAUCUACAGUUUGCAGUCCUGUGCUCUGCGUCAGACUGAAGAGGUCCCAGGCCCACAAGGGCUUCUGACAAGAACCUCCUCUCCAGGGCCCUCCCUUGUGUACCUGUUGGGGCUGGAGGAGAGCAAGAUCAGAGGGAGAACGGACUUUACGGGCAGCAGAAGGGUGCAGGUCUGGGUCGGCAGGGAACACCGAGUUUUUACCUGGUGUCCAGCUGGCCAAGUCCGACCCUGCCUGUGCUCAACUGAUGAAAUAAUAUCCAAAACUUCAAAAAUAGACCGGCUAUCAAUAGGUUUUUUUAAUUCCCCAACAACAAGGUGUAGUUUUAAGCAAAAUAAUGUUGCCCAAAUUUAAUUUGGAAAAAUUCUUUCAGUUUUCAUUCAGGCUACUGCACACAAAACAUUUUUAUCACCUUUAAUCAGUAGUGGCACAAUACAUACUGUCAAUCCAAGCACAGAUAUCCUAAGGAUAAGCUAAAAAUCAAACCCCACUAUAUGUUGCAAGUACUGAUAGUACCACAGGUGUGACGCAUGUUGAGAAUGCAGUAUUUUAGGAGGACAUGCCCACCCUCCUUCACAUCAGGAGUAGCCAUCUAUCUUUUUGUAUUUUUUUUCUCAACUGCAAUCAUUUUUUUUUUUAUUUUAAGAUGGCAGAAAAGAUUCAAACGCUGCAAAAACAAAUGCUAUAAGAGAAGCAAUGGCAGUUAUCUGGUGAGAUAACUGCUCAGAAAAGGCCAGAAACAGUCUACUUUCAGAAUCAUUGGUAUUCGACCAUGCUUCCAGGAUGGCACCUGUUAUCUCAGAAGAAACCACAAUGCAGCUUGAAGAUAUAAUUAAACAGAGAAUAAAAGACCAG